CAGGGAAUGGUUUAAAUGUAAAAUAUUAAUUUUGGAGAUUAAUGAUAGGGUGUUAGAUUCCCUUUCUCUGA
rnacentral:tRNA from 1 species